rnacentral:rRNA from 1 species
UUCCGGUUGAUCCUGCCGGAGGCUACCGCUAUUGGAGUUCGAUUAAGCCAUGCGAGUCGCGAGUCUUAGGGACUCGGCGUACCGCUCAGUAACACGUGGGUAACCUGCCCUAUGCUGGGGGAUAACCUCGGGAAACUGAGAAUAAUACCCCAUAGUUCACCACGCCUGGAACGGUGGGUGGAUCAAAGCUCCGGCGGCAUAGGAUGGGCCUGCGGCGUAUCAGGUUGUAGGGGGUGUAAUGUACCCUCUAGCCCUCUACGCGUACGGGUGUUGAGAGACAUCGCCCGGAGAUGGAUUCUGAGACACGAAUCCAGACCCCACGGGGUGCAGCAGGCGCGAAAACUUGGCAAUGCGAGAAAUCGUGACCAGGGAACUCCAAGUGCAUCGGGUAAGACCGAUGCUUUUCUUGACUCUUCAAAGGUCUUGGAAUAAGGGGUGGGUAAGGACGGUGCCAGCCGCCGCGGUAAUACCGGCGCCCCAAGUGGUAGUCGCUUUUAUUGGGCCUAAAACGUCCGUAGCCGGUCUGGUACAUUCGUGGGUAAAUCAACCAGCUCAACUGGUUGAAUUCUGCGAGCACGGCCAGACUUGGGACCGGGAGAGGUGUGGGGUACUCUCAGGGUAGGGGUAAAAUCCUGUCAUCCUGAGGGGACCACCUGUUGCGAAGGCGCCACACUAGAACGGAUCCGACGGUCAGGGACGAAGCCUAGGGGCACGAACCGGAUUAGAUACCCGGGUAGUCCUAGGUGUAAACGCUGUGGACUUGAUGUUGGGGGCGCUCCGAGCGCACUCAGUGUCGAAGCGAAGGUGAUAAGUCCACUGCCUGGGGAGUACGGUCGCAAGGCUGAAACUUAAAGGAAUUGGCGGGGGAGCACCGCAACCUGAGGAUUGUGCGGUUUAAUUGGAGUCAACGCCGGA